ensembl:snRNA U1 U1 spliceosomal RNA
CGGCUUACCUGGCAGGGGAGAUAAUGUGAUCAAGAAGGUGGUUCACCCAGGGCGACACUCAGCUAUUCUACUCCUGCGAAUUCUCCAAAUGUGGGAAUCUCGACUGCAUAAUUUCUGAUAGUGGGGCAGUUGUGUCCUA